GGCUAUCCCGAUCAUGUGGGAUAGUUGCGUUGAAGCAAGUUGACUCCCCAUCUGGUUGAUGUUAACUGCGCAGGAGUACUCUAGUGGGUCGUUUAGAUUAGCUGAACACCCUAAAGUACACAUUGGAAUAAUAAGAUUCAUUAGAAUUACGCAUUAUCAUUGCUGCGAUUUCUUUUUCAAACUGUAAAAGUGGGGCCUUUUUUUCUAUUGAAAUGAGUUAUUUUCUUCCACGUUUUCCGAUUUUAAGUAAACAUCUAUGGUCGUAUGCAUUUCGGUUUAAAAAAAAGUCACACAUUUUGUAAUGAAAACGGAGAAGUGUGCCAUGAUUAUCUUAUAUUUUUGGGAUAUUUCGGUUUGUGUUUUAUUUCUUGAUCACAGUGUGUGCUGCAUAUUUUUCUUGAAAUUAUCAACCAAAUAUCACCUCACAGGACGUCGUAUGGACUUUUUUUUACCUUGGAUUUGAGCGGAUUUUCCUAGAAUCUCGCGCUGUUUAUUGCAAAAUCUUCAUCAUUCGCACAGGAUACCAGUGGCGGUAUUCUGGAACACAAUCCGCAAAAAAAGCGGAAUUAUUCCGAGCGAUCAAUUGUAUUUUGGAAGGCGGUAUCCGAACGUUGUAUAUGGAUUUGUCUCUUUUUCAUUAAUUCGUUCGAAAAGAUAAUUCCGAUUUUGGCUAUGCAAUUUGCCAACGAUUUGAACAUUAACAUUAGGGAAAACAAACUGUAACGAAUUCAACGGAAUAUCGACUUUGCCGUAUUUUUGUAUGAAGUCACCAAUGCGGAACCGACCAUUUUGUACGACAUCUCCAACGAAGUUUCAACUGGAAUGAAGGGCAUGCUAAGAGAUCGCUAUCGUGACUUGUUGACAAAGAUGAAAAAGUAUCUCAAGAUUGAAACAGAAAGUACCCUCGAUGACAUCAGAGAGUUUUAUGUGCAUCAAGUUGAGAAGAACAUCAUCGAUAUUGGUCUAUUGAAUGGAAAAAUGACGAUUGCACUGACCAAAUUCAACGACGUCCACUCAGAAGAGUUGAAAGAAUGCGCAAAGAAAAUAUUUAAUGUGGCAUCUGAUUUGAAUAUUGGCAUAACGACGAAGAAAUCAAAUGAUCUAUUGCAACACAUUGAAUUUGUCGAUUUCCUAUGCAACAUCACCAAUACCAAUUCAACGGUUUUCUUUGACGUCACGAAUGUAUUGGCCAAUCUGACACUUCGAAGACUCACGCACAUGGUAUAUGUUUUUAAUUGAUUUACACGACGAGUCAUCAAAAUAUGAGGUGCAAACUAGCGCAACCACAUAUGACGUAUCGCAGCUUAUGAGCGAAUGUGUUGUUGGCGAAAAUGAUUUAGUCGAUGUUAAAAGUAUUAGCUUAAAAGAAUAUUGCGAACAGGUUGGCUUAGAGAGUGGCAAAUGUGAAACGGGUUCUAAAUAGUAUAGGGAAAUUUGUGCUCGGAACAUAUUCGGAUUUGUUGGGCAAUUUGAAUGCAAUUGAAGAAACGAGAAAAGCGAUUAAAAAUGUCGAAGGUCAAUCACCACCCAUUUGGACAAAUAUUAUAAUUUCGGUGGCAUUAUCUGAAACAAACGUCUCAUCAAUUGAUAAAUUACUUUGAAUAAUAGCACCAUUUUUGUAUAAUUCAUUUUAAAAUAAAGAAAAACUUUUUGAGAAAAUGAAAA